UACAGAGGUCUCAAGCGUUGUUCGGAUUCAUUGGGCGUAAAGAGUGUGUAGGCGGUGCUCUAAGUUCGGUGUGAAAUCUCCUGGCUCAACUGGGAGGGUGCGCCGGAAACUGGAGUGCUUGAGCGUGGGAGAGGAAAGCGGAAUUCCUGGUGUAGCGGUGAAAUGCGUAGAUAUCAGGAGGAACACCUGUGGUGUAGACGGCUUUCUGGACCAUAGCUGACGCUGAGACACGAAAGCGUGGGUAGCAAACAGG
rnacentral:rRNA from 1 species